UAACCGAAUAGGGGAGCCGGAGGGAAACCGAGUCUUAAUUGGGCGUUAAGUUGCAGGGUAUAGACCCGAAACCCGGUGAUCUAGCCAUGGGCAGGUUGAAGGUUGGGUAACACUAACUGGAGGACCGAACCGACUAAUGUUGAAAAAUUAGCGGAUGACCUGUGGCUGGGGGUGAAAGGCCAAUCAAACCGGGAGAUAGCUGGUUCUCCCCGAAAGCUAUUUAGGUAGCGCCUCGUGAAUUCAUCUCCGGGGGUAGAGCACUGUUUCGGCUAGGGGGCCAUCCCGGCUUACCAACCCGAUGCAAACUGCGAAUACCGGAGAAUGUUAUCACGGGAGACACACGGCGGGUGCUAACGUCCGUCGUGAAGAGGGAAACAACCCAGACCGCCAGCUAAGGUCCCAAAGUCAUGGUUAAGUGGGAAACGAUGUGGGAAGGCCCAGACAGCCAGGAUGUUGGCUUAGAAGCAGCCAUCAUUUAAAGAAAGCGUAAUAGCUCACUGGUCGAGUCGGCCUGCGCGGAAGAUGUAACGGGGCUAAACCAUG
rnacentral:rRNA from 1 species